AUUGAACGCUGGCGGCAGGCCUAACACAUGCAAGUCGAACGGUAACAGGAAGAUGCUUGCUUCUUUGCUGACGAGUGGCGGACGGGUGAGUAAUGUCCGGGAAACUGCCUGAUGGAGGGGGAUAACUACUGGAAACGGUAGCUAAUACCGCAUAACGUCGCAAGACCAAAGAGGGGGACCUUCGGGCCUCUUGCCAUCGGAUGUGCCCAGAUGGGAUUAGCUAGUAGGUGGGGUAACGGCUCACCUAGGCGACGAUCCCUAGCUGGUCUGAGAGGAUGACCAGCCACACUGGAACUGAGACACGGUCCAGACUCCUACGGGAGGCAGCAGUGGGGAAUAUUGCACAAUGGGCGAAAGCCUGAUGCAGCCAUGCCGCGUGUAUGAAGAAGGCCUUCGGGUUGUAAAGUACUUUCAGCGGGGAGGAAGAGAAUAAAGUUAAUACCUUUGCUCAUUGACGGUACCCGCAGAAGAAGCACCGGCUAACUCCGUG
rnacentral:rRNA from 1 species